UUGAUGUAUUUCACAUACGCAAGUCUCUCUGGAGUGACAGAACAUUAACUGUAAAAGUGUCUGAUGAUGGUGAAGUUGUUGCAACAGGAGGUAUGUAUCCUUUGCAAAUCUAUUCUAUCUGAGGAUCUACAUUAUUUCGUUUUGUAUAUGGUUAUUCACACAUUUGCUACUAUGUCAUAGGUUUUUUUACACAUUUGCUAUUAGUUUCUCUCACCAUCCUCUGAUUUCACCACCGUGCCAUUGGUCAGCGCUAGUUAGACUCAGCUGGGCACUAUGUAUUAGCUGGGUAGCGGAAGCAUUGAGUAUUUUGGGCUAUUGAUGAUGUGAGAAUUUACCAAGUAUUUUGCAGUAGGCAUGCAGACUUAAAGCUCUUCCAUGUCAGGUUGCGCUACUCUUGCAGAAACUUCCUCAAAAUGCAAUUUUCACAAGUAGUAAGAUCUUAGACCUCACAGAAAUAGUAGAAAUUUCUCAGCUGUAUUACUCUACAAAAAGGUAGGCCCCAAGCAUAGCUAUCACACAAAAUUAUCCAAGUGCAGCUAUCAAACAGCGAAAAGUAUUCUGAAAAAUAAGCAACAUUAGGUGGCAUACAUGCGACAUUGAAGGUUCAGGGCUGCACACAGCAUUACAAGCAAUAAGUUUCACAAGUUCUUACUUCCGAAAGCACCAGGACUGCAUACUUGUCACUCAAGUUUUUCAAAAGCUCCUGGAAUGCAUAAUAAUUGCUAAUUUUAGAAACAGCAGGACUGCAUACUUGCCAUUACAAGUCUGAAACCACAAUUUACAUGGCAAUAGUAUCUGCUGCAGCUUCUGUAUCAAUCUGAUCAUGUGGUGAUGUUUGUGGCUGGUUUUGGUGCAGCAUUUUUGUUACUUCAAAUCACAGAUCUUUUCCUUUUGACCCUUUUCCACCACUUUCUUACCAGUCUUCCUGGAGGUGCAUCAGAGUACCAGUUUUACAAAUAAAAGGAAAUACAUUAAUCUCCUGUAGCUAAAGAGAUGCAUCUGUUUUAUAGAAUUAACUAAUUUUACUGAAGCUAAAUAAAUGCAUUAGUUUUACAUGAGAACAAUACUUUUACAAAAUCUAAAGAAAAAGGCAUUUGGGAGGAAGAGUGCCAUACAUUGCUUGCACUAAUCGAGGGACCAGUCUGUUCAUCUUCUGAAAAUUCUUGGUCAACUUACUCUUUACAAUUCUUCUGUAUCUGGCCAAGCUGUCCACAGCAUUUGCAUUUCCUCUUUGUAGGCCCAACCUAGCACCUAUUUCAUUCAAACCUGGAUUAUAUUCUUUCUUGGUCUCCUAGGAAGCCUCUUUAGUAGAGGAGGAUAAAGUUUGAGACGUUGAUAUUUCCAUAGCAUUGCAUGUAUGCUGUUUGCAUAAGCUGCUUAUACUUCAACUUUGCUUCCUGGUUCCCUAAGUGAAGUGAUGACGAAAAUAGCAUGGACAAGGAGGGUGUAGUGACCCGACUCGGUGAAAGUGGGCAGGGCGAUCCUCAGGUGCCUUGUGAUUCUCAUCCGUCCAAAGGGAAUGUUCUCGUCGGGCUGAGCAAACUCGAUUAUGGCGGUCGACAUCUACAUUUUUGGAAGGGAGGAGAAAUCAGUGAUGAGUCAGUGAAGAUUAUAAGAACAAGUUAAUUAUAUAUGAAGGUUGUAAAAUAAGGUUUUUCAUCCUAUGGCUUUUCAUUUCCUAGGGUUGCGUCCUACUGUCAGCAUGUGCUCUGAUACCAUCUUGUAGCGACCCGAACUGGUGUGGUGAGAACGAUCGACCUACGGGCGCAAUCAAUGCUUCCCUCAUACUUGGACAACCAAUCCAUGCCUAAGGUUACAUCCAAUCCCUGUGACUUGAGUAUAAUCAGAUCCAAAGGAAAGACAUGUCCCCCUAUGGUGAAAGGCAGCUGAAAACACCCUGACUAAUCAUAGACUCUGCUCUCGGGGAACUCACUAGGAUGGGUGACUUAAGAACUACGGUAGGCAACUUAUGCUUAUCCGCAAAUACCUUGAUAUGAAUGAAUGAGAUGCACCAUUGUCAAAAAGAACAAGGGCUAGAAAUGAAUUAACCAAGAACUUACCAAUCACUGCAUCUGGCUGUUCAUAGAUUUCCUACACAUCGACAUGGUUCACAUGCCCCUUAGUGAAAGGGUUGGGCUUCUUACCACCAGAAUUUCCAUUUCCGUUUCCAUUCUUUAGCUCAGGACAGUAGUGCCCUGUGUUCUUCCACUUGAAGCAGGUGAUGUGGCUCAGAUCCUUCUUUACCGAUGUAGCAGGGUUGGAACGAUGCUGAUUGCCAUUUCCUCCAUUUCCAUUGUCAUUUCUGUGGCCACUGUGAUUGUGUCUAUGGCCUCCAUGCUAAGAAUGACCUCCAUGAUUAUGAUGGUUGUGCACUCCAAACUUACUGGGUACUGAUCCAGAAUAUCCAAAAAAAGGUGUGGAGCGGGGCUUUUUACUGAGCUCCAGAAUGAAACUUGCCCUGUCUGUAUUUACUCUUGCGGUUCUCCAUCAACCGGUGCUUGCCCUCAUGAAUAAUAGUCUUAUCAACCAACUCUUGAUAGUUAUCAAAAGUCGCUACCGUCAGCUGAACUCCCAGCUCGUCGUUCAGUUCCUUCGAAAAUUUCUCCUAUUUGGCUGCAUCUGUGGCCACGUCUCCUGGAGCAUAGCAGGCCAUAUUGCUGAACUCAUCAAUGUAUUUAGCCACUGAGCAACCUCCUUGGCGUAAGUUAUGGAAUUCCCUCUUCUUGAGACUCAUAGCUCCCGCUGAAACAUGAGCAGUACGGAAAGUCCGCUGGAACUGGUCCCAAGUCACAUUCGCCAUGGGGUAUGUGGUUGUGUAAUUCUCCCACCAUGAAGCUGCCGGUCCAUCCAGUUUAUGAGAGACAAACCUCACCUUCUCCGCAUCGGUGCAUCCUGCUGUGGCCAGCUUCCUACUCAUAUUGUGAAGCCAGUCAUCUGUGAAGAUCGGCUCUGGGCAGCUUGAUUGGGGGGUUCAAUCUCAGAAAGCGGGAGAGACUAUCAACUUGGGGUGGGGGCGAUGGAGGUGGGUUGUUGUGUUGUUGUUGUUGUUGUUGUCCCUGAGCCAUUUCAGGGACACGUCUUGGCGGCAUCUGAUGGGUUAGCAUAGAUGAGAUAUAGAGAGAAUUAGGCCUAAGGGAAAACACUACCCAUAUGCAAAUGAUAGCAAUUAACUCCAACUCACACCAUUCAAUUUGCAAUCAAGGUUCACGCAAUCAAGCCUAAGAUAAGCUAUGCCGCAAUGGUCUCACAAAUGAAUCUAAAACGAACUCGGAUAUUCUAAUUGAGUAUCGAAGUUCCUAAUGUUCAAUGGUGGCCUGCAAACUAGCUCUCGUCGGAAGAAGACUAUCAUAACGAUGUCGGCUCCAGCUUCAUCGCUCUUCGCUUCAUCAUCAAGCUUGUCAUUAUGAUCCUGGUCCUGGCUGACAUAACACCCAUAGGAGUGGUCGCCCUGGAUGUUCUCCCCUUGAUCGAGCUUCUCUUCGGCUUCUUCCAACUGAAACUUCACGUCUUCAUACUUCUCUUGUAGCUCAUCGAUCUCCGCCUCAUGUUCUGCGUGGGCUUCCUAGAGUUCCUCCUCAAGCUCGGCUUUGCGGGUCAUAAGAUUUUUGGCGGUGAUCAGGCUGCGAUGCAUCUCUUCCUCCAUCAUGCGGAUGUGGUCCUCCAAGUCCUGGAUGUGGGAUGCUAUCGAGUCAUCUUCAAUGGUACGCACCACCUCUCCAUCGGUGUCUCGGCAUGCGUACAUGGCAAAAGAGGUUCCUCUGAGGUCCGGCCUAUACUCCUUUCGGAUGCGUCCCAGCGUGGCGUGUGCGGCGAUGCCCUUGCCCAAGCCCCAUGAUGCUACGUCCAAGUAGAAGUCGAUGGGCUCGGUGAUGACUCCAAAGGUCUGUCCUGGGAUAUGAACGUUGAUUCUACAACACGUCUCCUCGGGCAGCCUUGAUACUCGAGGAGACGCGCUGGAGAAUCGACGUUCAUAUCCCAAGGUAGACCUUUGGAGUCAUCACCGAGCCAUCGACUUCUACUUGGACGUAGCAUCAUGAGGCUAGCAAGGGCAUCGCCACACAUGUUGCGCCGGGACACAUCUGAAAUGAGUAUAGCCCGGACCUCAGAGGAACCUCUUUCGCCAUGUACGCAUGCUGAGACAUCGAAGGAGAGGUGGUGCGUACCAUUGAAGAUGACUCGAUAGCAUCCCACAUCCAAGACUUGGGAGGACCACAUCCGCAUGAUGGAGGAAGAGAUGCAUCGCAGCCUGAUCACUGCCAAAAAUCUUAUGACCCGCAAAGCCAAGCAUGAGGAACUCCAGGAAGCCCACGCAGAACAUGAGACAGAGAUCGAUGAGCUACAGGAGAAGUAUGAAGCCGUGAAGUUUCAGUUGGAAGAAACCGAAGAUAAACUCGAUCAAGGGGAGAACAUCCAGGACGACCACUCCUAUGGGUGUUACAUCAGCGGGACCAGGAUCAUGAAGACGAGCUUGAUGAUGAAGCGGAGAUCGAUGAAGCUGGAGCAGACAUCGUUAUAAUAGUCUUCUUCAGAUGAGAGCGAGUUUGCAGACCACCAUUAAACAUUAGGAAUUUUGAUACUCGAUUAGAAUAUUUGAUUAGUUCGUUUUAGAUUCAUUUUGGAGACCAUUGUGGCAUGGCUUAUUUUAGGCUUGAUUGUGUGAACCUUGAUUGCAAUUUGAAUGGUGUGAUUUGGAGUUAAUUUCUAUCAUUUGCAUAUGGGUAGUGUUUCCCCCGGGCCUAAUUCUCUCUAAUAUCUCAUCUAUGUUAACCCAUCAGCUGCCACCAAGACAUGCACCUUCCGGAAAUGGCUCAGAGAACAAUAUGCCACCCGGCUUAAAGCAGUUGCUUCAGACACAGAACUAGAUGAUGCAACUUCUCAUGCAAAACAUGAACUAGAACAACAACCCACCUCCACCGCCCCACCCCAAGUUGAUAGUCUCACCCACUUUCUGAUAUUGAACCCACCGAUUUUCUCAAGCAGCCUAGAGCCGAUCGUCGCAGAUGACUGGCUUAUAUGAGUAGUAAGCUGGCCACAGCAGGAUGCACCGAUGCGGAGAAAGUGAGGUUUGUCUCUCAUCAACUGGAUGGACCGACAACUUCAUGGUGGGAGAAUUACAUGACCACAUACCCCAUGGCGACUGUGACCUAGGACCAAUUUCAGCAGGCGUUUUGUACUGCUCAUGUUUCAGCUGGAGCCAUGAGUCUCGAUAAAAGAGAAUUCUGUAACUUAUGCCAGGGAGGUCGCUCAAUGGCUGAAUACGUUGAUGAGUUCAGCAAGUUGUCCCGUUAUGCUCCAGGAGACAUGGCCACAGAUGCACCCAAGCAUGAGAAAUUUUUGGAGGGACUGAAAGACGAACUGGGAGUUCAGCAGAUGGUUGCGACUAUUGAUAAAUAUCAAGAGUUGGUUGAUAAGACUAUUAUUCUUGAGGUGGUGGAGAACGGUAAGAGGAAAUACGGACAGGGCAAGUUUUAUUCUGGAGAUCAGUAGAAGCCCCGCUCACACUUUUUCUGGAUAUUCUGGGUCAGGCCUCGGUAAAUUUGGAGCGCAUAACCAUCAUAAUCAUGGAGGUCAUUCUCAGCAUGGAGGCAAUGUACACAAUCACAGUGGCCAACCUUGCUACACCAGUAAAGAAAGAUCUGAGCCUCAUCACCUGCUUCAAGUGCAAGAACACAGGGCACUACUUCAACGAAUAUCCUGAGCUGAAGAAUGGAAAUGGCAAUGGAAGUUCUGGAGGCAAGAAGCCCAACCCUUUCACAAAGGGGCAUGUGAACCAUAUCAAUGUGAAGGAAGUCUAUGAGCAGCUGGAUGUAGUGAUUGGUAAGUUCUUGGUUAUUCCUUUCCAACCCUUGUUCUUUUUGACACUGGUGCAUCUGAUUCAUUCAUAUCAAGGGUAUUUGUGGAGCAGAGUCUAUGGCUAGCCAGAGGUGUUUUCAGUUGCCUUUGACCAUAGGGGGACAUGUCUUUCCUUCGGAUCUGAUCAUACUUAAGUCAUAGGGAUCGGAUGUAAUCUUAGGCAUGGAUUGGUUGUCCAAGUAUGAGGGAAGCUUUGAUUGCGCCCGUAGGUCGAUCGUUCUAUGCCAUGUAUGGAACCUAUUUCACACACUUAGAGCCUUUGAACCACGGUAUGCCAUGUAUGUGAAAUAGGUUCCAUACAUGGCAUAGGAGUGGGUUCAAAGGUGCAAAAAGAUUCAAUUUAAAAUGAUCUACGGUUUUCAUCCGUAGAGCUUUAUUCAGUACACCCAUUAUUUCAAACUUUAUUCAUAUUAAUUUCACUCCUAUGCCAUGUAUGGAACCUAUUUCACAUAGUUGCAUUUUUGCAUUUAGAACUUUAUGCUAGUUAGUGUGUUGGGUUUCAUUUGGUGUUUUGUAAGUCUUGCCGGAGAGCCACCAGCACGACCUCACGCCGCCCACACGACCAAGAGGGAAAGCCACCAGCAUGCCAUUGUGCCCGCUGGAGAGCCAACCAUGCAUACCGCCACCCGGAGCCGCCGCUCUGGCAUCCAUGUCCGAGACACCACCAACCAUCCACAUCACGACGCAUCUAUCACGGAAGGAAGAGUAAAAGAGUCUCCUUUCACUCCUAGCCCGGUAUCAGGCACGAAGUCUGGGUCGAUGCCUCCACGGUAGGAGGCGUCCACACCCGCAUUCCUAGUCANNNNNNNNNNNNNNNNNNNNNNNNNNNNNNNNNNNNNNNNNNNNNNNNNNNNNNNNNNNNNNNNNNNNNNNNNNNNNNNNNNNNNNNNNNNNNNNNNNNNNNNNNNNNNNNNNNNNNNNNNNNNNNNNNNNNNNNNNNNNNNNNNNNNNNNNNNNNNNNNNNNNNNNNNNNNNNNNNNNNNNNNNNNNNNNNNNNNNNNNNNNNNNNNNNNNNNNNNNNNNNNNNNNNNNNNNNACUGAUGGCCAUCGCCGAGUAGACUCGCUAUCAAUGUCGAUCUGGCCGACAGAAAGGUGGUGUCCUGACCACCACCAUCGACCACCAUGCCCGCGAGAAAAGAAAACUCGCCCACGGGCACCGCGCCAGCCUCGCCUACCCGAAGCACGAGCCCUAACCCACCUCGGGACCAAAUCUGGUCCGCCCAAGCACGAGCCCUAGGACGUAGCCACCUCCGUCCCACGGACAAUCCGCACGCCGCCGGCCUGGAACCAGGAGAAGGCCGCAACGACCACCGCCACGGUAGCUGCGAACACGGCAACGACCCAUUCAUCCACCGGGACCCGAAAGCGACCCAAUCGGAUAGGCCGCAUCACUAGCCGCCAGCUGCGCCCCCGAGCCCGCCGCUACUCCCGAGCAGCCACCACGAGGCCUCGUGGCACAAAACACCCAGAUCUGGAUAGAGCCAACCGGCCUCCGCCACCACAAGCCAACCUCUGGCGCUCCCAGGACGACGCAGCACGCCACCCAAUAGAGGCCCAUGGCCUCAGCCACCUCCCACGCCACGCCCCAAUCACCCUGCACUAGAUCCGACCGGUCCUGGGCAAGGAGCAAGGCGCACGCACCCGUCUGAGCACACCACCUCGUGGCCGCCGCACCACGGCCAAGCAGCAGCUGACCACCGGGCCGCCAUUAGUCGCAGAUCCGCUCACCCGCUGCUGCGUCAGAGGGCCCCACGCCAGCCCACCUCCCCCGCCCGUGUAGCUGUCCCACGCCAGCUGCGCCGCGAGCGAAGGGGAGUCAGAGCCCCUCCGCCACCUAUGCCGGUCGGGCUUAGCCCGCCGGUGGCAGCGGGGGAGGGAAAAGUAGCGGCGACGCGGGNNNNNNNNNNUGUAGGCUUCUACUGUUGCAAGUGCUCCAUCUUUGAAAAGAAAUUCGGAUGAUAUGUAUAUAUAUAUACAUACACAUUUAGUACAUUAAUGUGUACAUUAGCAUAUUUAGACAUUUAGUACAUUGCAUGCUGCUAUGUAGCCUAGGAUAUAUAGAUAUGGUCCUAGUUAACCUACCGAUAAAUUCAGUUAAUAUAUAGAUAUGGCCCUAGUUGUGAAAUUUUUGUUGCCAAAGUUUGCCACAUAAGACAAUGUGACAUAAUAAAUAAGUAGAGAGAGAAAUGUUAAAUGUAAUUUAACCAAUAAUUCUAGCACUAGCUUCAAAGUUUAGAGUGGGAAACUUAGUACUCUUCUCAUUUCCUAUUGAACAGCAUAAACAUACUAUAGAUGGUAUUUUUGCUAGCGGAGAACUUAGGUUGGAUAAACAUCGUUGAUCGUACUGUUUUUGGUCUGAUCGAGCGGUUAUGGCGUACUGGCAAAUAGCAAAUGUGAAGGAGUCAAAAUAUAUNNNNNNNNNNNNNNNNNNNNNNNNNNNNNNNNNNNNNNNNNNNNNNNNNNNNNNNNNNNNNNNNNNNNNNNNNNNNNNNNNNNNNNNNNNNNNNNNNNNNNNNNNNNNNNNNNNNNNNNNNNNNNNNNNNNNNNNNNNNNNNNNNNNNNNNNNNNNNNNNNNNNNNNNNNNNNNNNNNCAAUUAUGUAAAAUUCUCUUUCGUAGUUCACUGUGUUUGAUGAGUAUGGUAAUACAAAUUUUUUUCCUUAACUGAGACGUUGUUCUUUGUGCAGUUAGUUAUCCUUUCGGAGAAGGGACACCAUGAUAAUACCAUGUGACUUGACCAAACGGCCCAGGAAGAUAAGUUUGGGAGUUCAGGAUGACAAGCGUGAAUCCUGCAAGUUUCUGCUAGAUGCAUUUGAUUUCUUUGGCGGUGUAAUUCCUUGUCAUAUCCUUGUACCGCAAGUACUGGUGCAGACAAAGUGACUGCUCUUUCCUUUCUGCGUGAAAACGGGGACGUCAUGUGAGCUGACCGUGUACAUUUCUGAAUGCUUUUUGAGUCCCUACUUCAUGUAUGGCUUGUUCGAUGAACAAACAAGUAUCCUGGUCCACUGAAUGAACAGAAGUUGAGGAUCCUGAAAGUGUAUAGUACUUGCAAUUCAAAAGCGGAACCACUUUGAUUUUUGUGGUAAUUUUGGGCUUCUUGUUUUUACCUGGUGCUGUCACGUGUUUUGGUGUGCGCGUCGCCGCUGUGGUUGAAUUCGGGCGGUCACCGCUUAGUACGAGCCUUCAUGAAGCAACCGCUUUCUU
rnacentral:lncRNA from 1 species